rfam:Loxodonta africana unplaced genomic scaffold scaffold_60, whole genome shotgun sequence.
AUACUUAACUAGCAGGGGAGAUACCAUGAUCACAAAGGUGGUUUUCUGAGGGUGAGGCUCAUGCCUUGCACUCAGGUUGUGCUCACUGCUGUGGUUUCCCCACACACGAGAAACUCGACUGCAUAAUUUGUGGUAGUGGGAAUUGCGUUAGGGCUUUCCCCUG